rnacentral:rRNA from 1 species
UACAGAGGGGCAAGCGUUGUUCGGAAUUACUGGGCGUAAAGGGCGCGUAGGCGGCCUUCUAAGUCGAACGUGAAAUCCCCGGGCUCAACCCGGGAACUGCGUCCGAUACUGGGAGGCUUGAAUCCGGGAGAGGGAUGUGGAAUUCCAGGUGUAGCGGUGAAAUGCGUAGAUAUCUGGAGGAACACGGUGGCGAAGGCGGCAUCCUCGGACCGGUAU